UAAUUGAAGAGUUUGAUCAUGGCUCAGAUUGAACGCUGGCGGCAGGCCUAACACAUGCAAGUCGAGCGGUAGCACAGGGGAGCUUGCUCCCUGGGUGACGAGCGGCGGACGGGUGAGUAAUGCUUGGGAAUCUGCCUUUGCGAGGGGGACAACAGUUGGAAACGACUGCUAAUACCGCAUAAUGUCUUCGGACCAAAGGGGGCUUUCGGGCUCUCGCGCAAAGAGGGGCCCAAGUGAGAUUAGCU
rnacentral:rRNA from 1 species